GGAAUUUUCCGCAAUGGGCGAAAGCCUGACGGAGCAACGCCGCGUGGAUGAUGAAGUCUUUCGGGACGUAAAAUCCUUUCAGCAGGGACGAAGUUCUGACGGUACCUGCAGAAGAAGCAUCGGCUAACUACGUGCCAGCAGCCGCGGUAAUACGUAGGAUGCAAGCGUUGUCCGGAAUUAUUGGGCGUAAAGCGAGCGUAGGUGGCUCAUUAAGUUUGGACUUAAAGACCGGGGCUCAACUCCGGGAGUGGUUCGAAUACUGGUGAGCUAGAGGCUGUUAGAGGAAAGUGGAAUUCCGAGUGUAGCGGUGAAAUGCGUAGAUAUUCGGAGGAACACCGGUGGCGAAAGCGACUUUCUGGGGCAGUCCUGACACUGAGGCUCGAAAGCUCGGGGAGCA
rnacentral:rRNA from 1 species